rnacentral:rRNA from 1 species
AACGAACGCUGGCGGCAUGCCUAACACAUGCAAGUCGAACGAGAUCUUCGGGUCUAGUGGCGCACGGGUGCGUAACGCGUGGGAAUCUGCCCUUUGGUUCGGAAUAACAGUUGGAAACGACUGAUAAUACCGGAUGAUGACGAAAGUCCAAAGAUUUAUCGCCAGAGGAUGAGCCCGCGUAGGAUUAGCUAGUUGGUGUGGUAAAGGCGCACCAAGGCGACGAUCCUUAGCUGGUCUGAGAGGAUGAUCAGCCACACUGGGACUGAGACACGGCCCAGACUCCUACGGGAGGCAGCAGUGGGGAAUAUUGGACAAUGGGCGAAAGCCUGAUCCAGCAAUGCCGCGUGAGUGAUGAAGGCCUUAGGGUUGUAAAGCUCUUUUACCCGGGAUGAUAAUGACAGUACCGGGAGAGUAAGCUCCGGCUAACUCCGUGCCAGCAGCCGCGGUAA